rnacentral:misc_RNA from 1 species
GACGGAGGAGGCAAGCGUUGUCCGGAAUCAUUGGGCGUAAAGAGCGCGUAGGCUGUUUUCCAAGUCAUAUGUGAAAACCUCAGGCUUAACUUGAGGACUGCAUAUGAAACUGGAUAACUUGAGUGCAGUAGAGGAAAGUGGAGUUCCUGGUGCAGCGGUGAAAUGCGCAGAUAUCAGGAAGAACACCGGUAGCGAAGGCGGCUUUCUGGGCUGCUACUGACGCUGAGGCGCGAAAGCUAGGGGAGCAAACAGG